rnacentral:misc_RNA from 1 species
AGAUGGAAUUGACAAUCUUUUGGUGCUUCUCAUUGGAGGGAUUCCAAUUGCCAUGCCAACUGUCCUGUCUGUGACUAUGGCCAUCGGCUCCCACCGGCUUUCACAGCAAGGUGCUAUCACCAAAAGAAUGACAGCCAUCGAAGAAAUGGCUGGAAUGGAUGUCUUGUGCAGUGACAAGACUGGAACUCUCACUCUCAACAAGCUUACAGUGGAUAAGUCCUUGAUUGAGGUAUUUGCAAAAGAUGUGGACAAAGAUAGUGUGAUUUUGUAUGGGGCAAUGGCCUCCAGGGUUGAGAAUCAAGAUGCUAUUGAUGCAUGUAUUGUUGGGAUGUUGGGUGACCCCAAGGAGGCCAGAGCAGGCAUCACUGAGGUACAUUUUCUGCCAUUUAACCCAGUGGAAAAGCGCACGGCUAUAACAUAUAUUGACUCAGAAGGCAAUUGGCACAGAAUUAGCAAGGGAGCACCGGAGCAGAUCAUUGAAUUGUGCAACCUCAGGGAUGAUGCAAAAAAGAAAGCUCAUGCCAUCAUCGAUAAGUUUGCCGAUCGUGGACUACGCUCUCUAGGUGUUUGUAGACAAACUGUACCAGAGAAAACCAAGGAUAGCCCUGGAGGGCCAUGGCAAUUUGUUGGUCUCUUGCCUCUUUUUGAUCCUCCAAGGCAUGACAGU